UACGUAGGGUGCGGGCGUUAAUCGGAAUUACUGGGCGUAAAGAGUGCGUAGGCGGCUUCUCAAGUCAGGUGUGAAAUCCCCGGGCUUAACCUGGGAAUGGCGCUUGAAACUGGGGGGCUUGAGUGUGGCAGAGGGGGGUGGAAUUCCACGUGUAGCAGUGAAAUGCGUAGAGAUGUGGAGGAACACCGAUGGCGAAGGCAGCCCCCUGGGCUAACACUGACGCUCAGGCACGAAAGCGUGGGGAGCAAACAGG
rnacentral:rRNA from 2 species